GGAGAAGUACCCAAGUCUGGCUGAAGGGGACGCACUCGAAAUGCGUUAGGGCGGGCAACUGCCGCGUGGGUUCGAAUCCCACCUUCUCCGCCA
rnacentral:tRNA from 1 species